rnacentral:rRNA from 1 species
AGCGGCGGAUGGGUGAGUAACACGUGGGGAACCUGCCCCUAAGUCUGGGAUACCAUUUGGAAACAGGUGCUAAUACCGGAUAAUAAAGCAGAUCGCAUGAUCAGCUUUUGAAAGGCGGCGUAAGCUGUCGCUAAGGGAUGGCCCCGCGGUGCAUUAGCUAGUUGGUAAGGUAACGGCUUACCAAGGCGACGAUGCAUAGCCGAGUUGAGAGACUGAUCGGCCACAUUGGGACUGAGACACGGCCCAAACUCCUACGGGAGGCAGCAGUAGGGAAUCUUCCACAAUGGACGCAAGUCUGAUGGAGCAACGCCGCGUGAGUGAAGAAGGUUUUCGGAUCGUAAAGCUCUGUUGUUGGUGAAGAAGGAUAGAGGUAGUAACUGGCCUUUAUUUGACGGUAAUCAACCAGAAAGUCACGGCUAACUACGUGCCAGCAGCCGCGGUAAUACGUAGGUGGCAAGCGUUGUCCGGAUUUAUUGGGCGUAAAGCGAGCGCAGGCGGAAAAAUAAGUCUAAUGUGAAAGCCCUCGGCUUAACCGAGGAACUGCAUCGGAAACUGGUUUUCUUGAGUGCAGAAGAGGAGAGUGGAACUCCAUGUGUAGCGGUGGAAUGCGUAGAUAUAUGGAAGAACACCAGUGGCGAAGGCGGCUCUCUGGUCUGCAACUGACGCUGAGGCUCGAAAGCAUGGGUAGCGAACAGGAUUAGAUACCCUGGUAGUCCAUGCCGUAAACGAUGAGUGCUAAGUGU